rnacentral:rRNA from 1 species
AGUGAAUAGAUACCCAGGUAGUCCUAGCCGUAAACGAUACUCGCUAGGUGUCGGCCACGGUGCGACCGUUGUCGGUGCCGUAGGGAAAGCCGUGAAGCGAGCCACCUGGGAAGUACGGCCGCAAGGCUGAAACUUAAAGGAAUUGGCGGGGGAGCACCACAACGGGUGGAGCUUGCGGUUUAAAUUGGAUUCAACGCCGGAAAUCUUACCGGGACCGACAGCAAUAUGAAGGCCAGGCUGAAGACUUUGCCGGAUUAGCUGAGAGGUGGUGCAUGGCCGUCGUCAGUUCGUACUGUGAAGCAUCCUGUUAAGUCAGGCAACGAGCGAGACCCACGCCCACAGUUGCCAGCGUACUCUCUGGAGUGACGGGUACACUGUGGGGACCGCCGCUGCUAAAGCGGAGGAAGGAAUGGGCAACGGUAGGUCAGUAUGCCCCGAAUAUCCCGGGCUACACGCGAGCUACAAUGGUUGGUAC